GAAAAUUCAUUGUUAGGUAAUCGUUGCGAAGAAAGACUUGUGAUUGAAUGUGGGUGUUGAAAGCCUGCUAUCUCAUAUUGGAAACCUGUCUCAUAAUAGAGAUCUUUCUUUGAAGAAUAGAGAUAUAUCUUUGAAGAAAGAUAAGAAAGAUAACUCUUGCAGUUAUCGCCGCUACGUUAGUUCCGACAGCCUUCAACGUCCACUCGUGCCCUCGAUACUUUCCGUCAGUUCAUUACGAAACUUAAUAGUGCGCACACGUGCGCACCGCGUUAAUAGCUGCGCGCUAAUUUGCGGAUUCCACGAAGUUCUACCGCGGCCCCGGUCGGUGAAAUACGCAAUUUACAACGAUAGGAAUGCUGCCGGAGUAGUUGCUGAUAUACAGGUUGAGGUACCUUCGGCGACUUGAGCUUGGCAAUAAAGAAUGAAGAGGUAAAGCUUCCGGCAAGCAGAAUUUUCAAGAACUUUUUCUCUCGUCGCAAAGUCAAAAUGCAGAGCAGUCGUCACAAUGUGUUUACUACAACUGGAGUUGGUCGUAUCUCCGCCUUGACACCGGGUCCAGUCGGCCUCAUCAUCGUCAAGUCCCGCAUGAGAACCACUCGAGACGAGCCCCUCGUCCGACCGGCUGGGACACCAAUCCAGCGAACGGUCCCGCUACCAACGCCUACCGAGCCGACGAAUCGCCGGCGUCCGGAGAGAAGGCUCGCCGCUCGCACCUUGCACCUUGCAGCGCGUCGCCUUUCUCUCCGGCGCUGUCGCGACAGAUUCGACGUUGAACCGACAAUUGCGCCAUUCGAGCUGAACUUCGAGCAAUAAAUCCCGCGUGUUCGUCACGGCGAGCCGUGACGACACCGCGUGUGUGUACGCCCCGUCGACAUUGGCGUGAUAACCGAAAGCAGUGCGUCACGCCGUGACGCAACUCCCAGGUCGGAGAUGCGUUUACGAUCGGAUGAUGGAACCUCCUCGUGACAUUGCGUUUUCGUGAAACAGAUUCUCCGAAACGGGGGAAACGCGGGAGGUUGUAUCUCGGAAACUGUCGGGAGGGGACGGAGAGCUCGAGCCUUCGCGCUGUCGAUUGGCAUCUUCCUGGCGGUGCAAAUCGUUAUCAAACAAUAAAAUAUAUACCGCGAGCGGAUCGUGUUAAUUUAUAUUUUCAAUUCGAAGCGUCGCGGAGCUUAGAAUUUUUCCUUCUCAUUAAUACAUUCGUCAAAUAUUGUUCGAUCUCAUCCCGUACGCUCGUUCCGAGAAUUAUGAGAUUGCAGUUUGAUCUGCAAAUUCUACAGAAAUCCUGAGCUUUCCUUCCCUCCUUCCGAAAAGAGAGAAAAAAAAGAGUUGAUCGCGCAAAACUGAGAAAAAUCCCGGGAAUUAAUUUACCUCCCACUCCUCGUAAGAAAAUCGCGACAAUUCGUGAAAGACGAGUGAAAUUUAUUCGCAGCUUGACACAAGUAGAAGUUCGUUAUUCAAGAAUUACCCAACCGCAAUCGGCGACUGCGCUUUUGCAUUCGUUGCAGACAAAGCAACAUCCGUUCCCGCUGACGCAGCGCUUAUGCGGCUGCCCGCGACUACAUAUCCGCGACCUAAACAAAAACUAAAAAUAAGAGACCCGCGUUGACGAUGUCACGUGAAAAAGGAUCGUCCGGAUAUUUAAAAAGCUGUAGAGGAUAUUUACCGUCCACGUACUGAAUGAAAUUCGAGCGAGCGAGGGGGACAGGCAGAUAAAUUAUCUCUUUCUCUCUCUCUGACCGUGAAACGACGUUGCUAUGGCGCGAUUUCUCGCUGGUAUAUUAGAAAAUACAUUGUGCUCCGCACUCUCUCUCUCUCUCUCUCUCUCUCUCUCUCUCUCUCUCUCUCUCUCUCUC